UCGAAACCUGCAUAGCAGAACGACCCGCGAACUCGUUUACCAACCCCGAGGUGCAGGGCUUGCCCUCUGCCUCGGAGCCGGAACGCAUCGCCUUCCCCUCCCCGUCAAAAGGGCGGCGAGACGGUGUGCGAUGGCAAGUACCCAAACACCGGCGCGGGUUGCGCCAAGGACUUUGAAAUUCUACCGCGUCCCUCGGCCCCGGGCGACCGGGUGUCGUGGUGAAGGCGUGCGAAACAAUAUAAAUGAACGACUCUCGGCAACGGAUAUCUCGGCUCUCGCAUCGAUGAAGAACGUAGCGAAAUGCGAUACUUGGUGUGAAUUGCAGAAUCCCGUGAACCAUCGAGUCUUUGAACGCAAGUUGCGCCCGAAGCCAUCCGGCCGAGGGCACGUCUGCCUGGGCGUCACGCAUUGCGUCGCCCCUCUCCCUCCGUUUUGGAGCAGAGUGAGGGGCGGAGUAUGGCCCCCCGUGCGCACCCGCGCGCGGCCGGCUUAAACACGGAGCCCGUGGCCGCAAGUGCCGCGACGUUUGGUGGUUGAAUAUCGAGCAUCGCGUCGCGUGCCAUAGCGUACUCGGAGACCUCGAAGGACCCUUAGGCGAAGCAGCCUACCCUUGCGACCCC
rnacentral:rRNA from 1 species